AUUGAACGCUGGCGGCAGGCCUAACACAUGCAAGUCGAGCGGACGGAGGGGGCUUGCUCCUGGAUUCAGCGGCGGACGGGCGAGUAAUGCCUAGGAAUCUGCCCUACCUUUGGGGAUAACGUCCGGACACGGGCGCUAAUACCGCAUACGUCCAGAUGGAGAAAGGGGGGGAUCUUCGGACCUCACGCUAUCUGAUGAGCCUAGGUCGGAUUAGCUCGUUGGUGGGGUAAGGGCCUACCAAGGCGACGAUCCGUAACUGCGCUGAGAGGAUGAUCAGUCACACUGGAACUGAGACACGGUCCAGACUCCUACGGGAGGCAGCAGUAGGGAAUAUUGGGCAAUGGGCGAAAGCCUGAUCGAGCCAUGCCGCGUGUGUGAAGAAGGUCUUCGGAUCGUAAAGCUCUGUUAGUUGGGAGGAAGGGAAGUAAGUUAAUACCUGGCUGUUUUGACGUUACCAACAGAAUAAGCACCGGCUAACUUCGUG
rnacentral:rRNA from 1 species